CCCCCGGGUCCAUGAUGCAGCCCCCCGGAUGAGGCCGCAGUAUUUUCCUUAUAUGAUCGGGCCCCAUGGCUGGCGGCGCCGCCGGCCCGGAGCCUGAGAGGAUUAUGAAAACGUAUCAGGCGAAAUGGGGCCAGGGACCCGGGG
rnacentral:snoRNA from 1 species